GUUCGCAAGAGCACUGGGCACGGAGCCAUGAAGGGGGAGACGCAGCGAUGCGAGCGAACCCGGGUUACUGUGAAGAAAUUAGAGUGUUUAAAGCAGGCGUAGGCUUGAAUAUAUCAGCAUGGAAUAUGAGGGAUCUUUUCCUCAUUGGUGAAGGAAGAGAGUUGGUCAAAAGGUACAGUGGGGGGCAUUCGUAUUCUCUGGUCAGAGGUGAAAUUCUUAGAUUCAGAGAAGACGCACUGAGGCGUAAGCCUUUGCCAACGAUGUUACCGUUGAUCAAGAACGAAAGUUAGGGGAUCGAAGACGAUCAGAUACCGUCGUAGUCUUGACUAUAAACGAUGCCGACGCAGGAUCCGGUGGGGCGAGAGCUCAGCGGGGACUGUGGGAGAAAUCAGAGUGUUUGGGUUCUGGGGAGAAUAUGGUCGCAAGGC
rnacentral:rRNA from 1 species